rnacentral:rRNA from 1 species
AUUGAACGCUGGCGGAAUGCUUUACACAUGCAAGUCGAACGGUAGAGGGGGCAACCCCUUGAGAGUGGCGAACGGGUGAGUAAUAUAUCGGAACGUGCCCAGUCGUGGGGAUAACGUAGCGAAAGCUACGCUAAUACCGCAUACGAUCUAUGGAUGAAAGCGGGGGAUCGCAAGACCUCGCGCGAUUGGAGCGGCCGAUAUCAGAUUAGGUAGUUGGUGAGGUAAAGGCUCACCAAGCCGACGAUCUGUAGCUGGUCUGAGAGGACGACCAGCCACACUGGGACUGAGACACGGACCA